UACGAGGGGGGCAAGCGUUGUUCGGAAUUAUUGGGCGUAAAGGGCGCGUAGGCGGUGCGGUAAGUCUGAUGUGAAAUCUCCGGGCUCAACUGGGAGCUUGCAGGCGAAACUGCCGUGCUGGAGUGUGGGAGAGGUGCGUGGAAUUCCUGGUGUAGCGGUGAAAUGCGUAGAUAUCAGGAGGAACACCUGUGGCGAAAGCGGCGCACUGGACCACAACUGACGCUGAGGCGCGAAAGCUAGGGGAGCAAACAGG
rnacentral:rRNA from 1 species